AACGCUGGCGGCGUGCCUAACACAUGCAAGUCGAGCGGAGAUGUACUGAAGAUUUAUCGGAUGUACAUCUUAGCGGCGGACGGGUGAGUAACGCGUGGGCAACCUGCCUUCCACUGGGGGAUAACACAGGGAAACCUGUGCUAAUACCGCAUGACAUCACAUAGGGCAUCCUGUGUGAUCAAAGGAGUGAUCCGGUGGAAGAUGGGCCCGCGUCCGAUUAGCUAGUUGGUGAGGUAACGGCUCACCAAGGCGACGAUCGGUAGCCGGACUGAGAGGUUGGCCGGCCACAUUGGGACUGAGACACGGCCCAGACUCCUACGGGAGGCAGCAGUGGGGAAUAUUGCGCAAUGGGGGGAACCCUGACGCAGCGACGCCGCGUGAAGGAAGAAGGCCUUCGGGUUGUAAACUUCUUUGAUGAGGGACGAAGGAAGUGACGGUACCUCAAAAACAAGCCACGGCUAACUACGUG
rnacentral:rRNA from 1 species